CAGAAAUAGACAAACACCAAAACUCGUGGAAUUCUGUCAGAUAAAACCCUAAGUCUAGUUUUUGAUUUCAUUUGGAUCCUUUUCUUUAUUUAUUUGAUAAUUAAAUUUGAUACUUAAGGACCGUCAACAAACUCCCCCAAGCUUACCUCUUGCUCGUCCCUGAGCAAGGAUAGACUCAGCUAUAAAUCAUAAGUAGUUGCAAUAUUUUAAAAAUUUGACGGUACACAUGCUUUUAAAUAAGAUCUCAUCUCUGAGUUAGAGUAAACUGUCAAGACUUAAAACUUACUUACUUUACCUACACCAUGGGACUUGUAACCGUCACUUCUGUCUUGAGAGGUUAAAAGAUAGAACAGUCUAGCCAAGUGCCAUGUCUCUUAUUCUUGAUCAGCUAUAGCUCUGGGGUUUUUGCAGAUUUUCAAAUAAAACUCAGAGAUUCCUUGUAUGAUUCUCUCAGAUAUCUCUUUUGUGGUAUUUUUGGAUCCUUACCAAGGCAGUGAUGGUAUAUGCCUUCUCUCAAUAUAUGUAGUAUUUGUGGUAUGAGGCAUAGUGACAUUGCCUUCUCUCUCACCCUACUCUAAUAAGGCUUUAAUAUCUGGAGCUCAUAGGUGGGAGAUAAAAUAUACAUACUUACAAGACAUUUAUUGCAUAGUCAAACCAUGGAUCCAAAUAAACAAAUCAAUAAGCCAAAUCAAGAUGUGCAUGUGUGGCGAAUGAAUGGUGUAUGGUGAUGAUGGUGAUAACAAUGGUGAAAACAAUGGUGGUGGAAGUCUAAUUCUACUUUGCUCUUUGAGGGGAUACAUACCUUCCUUGCUUUUUGAAACUUUAUGAGGAGAAUGAGAUGCUCAUCUUUUUCUUUUCUCUCAGGUGGGUAUCUUGUACCCCUAAUUUCUACUGUCGGACACUUGUCCAUUUUUACCUCUCGUCUCACUUUUUCUUUUCUUUUGAGGUUUCGAGCACUUGCUCCUUUUUAUUUCCUCGUAUCUUUUUCUCUUUCUUUUUUUAGAGCAUUCAUCUCUUGAGAUAAUAUAGCAAGUGGUAGUAACAAGAUAACUUGAGCAUUUAUUUCACAAGGGGAAAACAAAAUUAUUUUUGGCUAUUCUCUCCCGGAUUAGGAGUAGAAUAUUUUUGGGUGAUUCUGGAGAUGGAAUGGGUGAAUAUACGUGGAUGGUACUUCCGGAGUAGAAGUAGCAUAUAUGAGUGGACGUGCAAGUGAAAUCUUGAUUUAACCACAUGACAAGCUCCUAAAGGUCUACACAGCUUGACCACACUCAAUGCUCAUAAGCAGUAAAUAGUAAAUGUGUGGCUCAAAGUCUAGCAAGCAUGUAUAUAUGGAUGUGGUAGGAAUUUAAACUCUCAUCAUACAGGAACUCAUCAUGCAACAUUUUAAAGAUUUUCAAAGAUAAAAUUCUCCAGAAUUCUAGCAUCUCUAGGAACAGAUAAACAACAGCUCAACCUUCCCAUAUCGUAUCCGUUAACAACUUAGACUUCAGAUCAAGUUUUCAUCCCACAAGUUUAGGUCUAGAGCAAGCUUUAAAUUAUAACAGUUAUAUCUAAACUUGAGAGAGAACUUAAAAUGUGCUAAUUAGGCAGAGCAACUAUUCAUCAUAUCCAC
rnacentral:lncRNA from 1 species